GUGUCAGCAGCCGCGGUAAUACGGAGGAUGCGAGCGUUAUCCGGAUUUAUUGGGUUUAAAGGGUGCGUAGGCGGAGUAAUAAGUCAGUGGUGAAAACCUGCAGCUUAACUGUGGAACUGCCAUUGAUACUGUUAUUCUUGAGUAUGGUCAAGGUAGGCGGAAUGUGUAAUGUAGCGGUGAAAUGCUUAGAUAUUACACAGAACACCGAUUGCGAAGGCAGCUUACUGGGCCAUUACUGACGCUGAGGCACGAAAGCGUGGGGAGCGAACAGGAUUAGAUACCCUGGUAGUCCACGCCGUAAACGAUGAUCACUCGCUGUUGGCGAUACACAGUCAGCGGCUAAGCAAAAGCAUUAAGUGAUCCACCUGGGGAGUACGGCCGCAAGGCUGAAACUCAAAUGAAUUGACGGGG
rnacentral:rRNA from 1 species